UCGCGCGAUCGCCUUACUGCUCAGUAACACGUGGAUAACCUGCCCUGCGGUGGGAAAUAACCCCGGGAAACUGGGGAUAAUGUCCCAUAGACUACGGAUACUGGAAUGUUCUGUAGUUCAAAGAUUUAUCGCCACAGGAUGGGUCUGCGGCCGAUUAGGUAGUUGUUGGGGUAACGGCCCAACAAGCCUUUGAUCGGUACGGGUUGUGGGAGCAAGAGCCCGGAGAUGGAUUCUGAGACACGAAUCCAGGCCCUACGGGGCGCAGCAGGCGCGAAAACUUUACAAUGCGGGAAACCGUGAUAAGGGAACUCCGAGUGUCCGUAAAUGCGGACUGUCCGUAUGUUUAAAAAGCAUGCGAAGAAAGGGCCGGGCAAGACCGGUGCCAGCCGCCGCGGUAAUACCGGCGGCUCGAGUGGUGGCCACUAUUACUGGGCUUAAAGCGUUCGUAGCUGGGUUGUUAAGUUUCUUGGGAAAUCUACCGGCUUAACCGAUAGGCGUCCAAGGGAUACUGGCAAUCUAGGGACCGGGAGAGGUGAGGGGUACUUCAGGGGUAGGAGUGAAAUCCUGUAAUCCUUGGGGGACCACCUGUGGCGAAGGCGCCUCACCAGAACGGCUCCGACAGUGAGGGACGAAAGCUGGGGGAGCAAACCGGAUUAGAUACCCGGGUAGUCCCAGCCGUAAACGAUGCGCGUUAGUGUAUCGAUGACCACGAGUCAUCGAGGUGCCGAAGGAAACCGUGAAACGCGCGCCUGGGAGUACGUCGCAAGGCUGAACUUAAGAUUGGCGGGGGGAGCACAAGGGCGAUUCGUUUAACUUGCA
rnacentral:rRNA from 1 species